GCAGCCGGCAACAACCCCCACUCCACUCGUUGCUGGUGAGUGUGUCAGGCAACAAUGGCAAGAGGUCAUACUGUCUUCGUCAGUUUUGCCAGACAAGUAAGAACAGAACAAGUCGGCGUCCAGAAGAACGACUUGUCGACUUCAGUUUCAGCCGUUCAUCAGAUGAUUUACGGCUUAGAGCAAUAAGAGCGUUGUUUAGCGCUAUUAAAGUUGUAUUGCCAUCUCCUAAACAGUGUUUUGUGUAAACAAGUAUCGCUAAUGCAACAGACCGGGUCAGCGGCGGGGUAAUUUAGGCUCGCUGGAUUGCUUGGCGAAGGUUAUCGAGUCUAUGAACUGCAUAAACCCUAGAUAGGAACUACCUUAGCUGUCUCCUCGUCACUCUGGCGAUUUAUCUGUAUCUGAAACUCAUUAUCUUUACCCAGAUUCAGUAAUACAGCUGCUAGUUCUAUCCAUUGCCGUUCAUACUCUUGCAUUCUUCUUCCGAGUUGUGCAUCUUUCACAAUCUUCUCCCUUGCGAUUUGCUUCUUUCAAUUGCUCAGAUCACCGGAUCCUGGCAGUUGGUAUACAGAGCCAGCCUUCCUUGGCUUAAAUUCUCCAGAGCCAAUUUCUCGAAUCUUGUCCGAUUGGCGCGGGGGUAGGUGGUUGCGACCUACUCGCCGAAAAUCCCACCCUCCGACCCAGAUUCGACGAAACCACCCAUUUUCCCCCAAAAUUAACGAUCGAUUCUUGUCAGCCAGGGUUGCUAGGCACUUGUUCUAGCGUAAAAUUCCGUAAACUGACCUGAAUCAGAUUCGUGGAGGCGAAGGUGUGGACUGCUCUUUGGUGAGGGUUGUCAAGCAAGUCUUGGUGUAAAAUUCUGGAGCCAAAUCCGCAGUCUUGGCGGCGGUAGAACAGUCUUGUGAAUCUGAUUGGGGAAGGCUUGACCUGAACCGAAUUCACAAGAGAAGAAGAUGGGGACUGGUGAGGAAAACGGUGGCGAGAACAUGUAUGCUACUGCAGAAGAAGUGGAUGGGAUCCGGCGUACUUUGGAUUCCUUUAUGAAAGAUCAAGAGAAGCAUAAUGAUUCUGUGAAGAAAAGUUUGGAUGAUCUUAUGAAGAUAUUGACAAGCAAGAAUGAAAAGUUGGGUACUUCAACACUGGAAACAAAGGACCCAACACAAAAUUAAGCCACCUCCUAUACAGAGUAAGCAAAUUCCCCCAAUUCAUUCCAAUAUGGCACAGGUUCACAAAUCCACACACUUCAUGGAUAAUUCAGGCAUGGCACAAAAACAAUUUUAUUAUCCACCAUUUACUUCAAGGGCUCAAAUAGAUGAUACUGAGUCACAUGAAUGGUCUAGACAUGCUUUUGGUUCAGUUCAACACUUUACUGAACCGGUACCCAGAAAUGGAUUUAGAGGAUUGUCCUUGGAAUGCCAAAGAGUUGGGAGUUUUUUUAUGAGUUGGCUACCGAAGAACUACAGCCCAAAAAACAACCAAAACAAUUGCAACACCAUUUUCCACCGCCACAACAAAAUAUGGCCUGAAUUCCUACUUUCCCUGAACCACCCAACCAAGUCAGCAACCAACCACACUAUACAAACCAUUUACAAUCCCAGCAUAAGGCAAUUGCUCGAGGACUUAAACUGUCUUUUCCAGAAUUUGAUGGCUUUUAAUUUCAAAAAAAAAUUUGAUGGCUUUGAUUCUGAUGGAUGGAUCAAAAAGGCAGAGAAAUAUUUUGAGUUGAUUGGGGUACCAAAUGAAGAAAGAGUGAAAGUAGCUGUAAUGUAUAUCAAAGGAAGAGCUGGAUUUUGGUGGAGGUACUAGCUGUAAUCCUUCAACAUUGCCAUGGCACCAUUUUUGUAGAAUGGUGGGAGACAGAUUUAAUGAGAUCUCAUCCUCUGAAGUAAUUGGCCAGUUUCAUAAUUUGAAACAAGCUGGCUCAGUGCAAGAAUAUGUGGACAAAUUUGAAGAACUCAUGGGCAUUAUCAGAAGAGACAAUCCUUCAUUAACUGAGCAUUAUUUCAUCUCAAACUUUGUGUCAGGCCUGAAAGACUAUAUACAGCAUCAUCUACAAUGUCAUGACUAUUACUCUGGAUAAUGCAUCCUAUAAUGAUAGCAUGUCUACUUCCCUUAGGAUGAGAUUGCAAGCUCAUGGCAGAUUAUUAUGUGAAGGUGCUUUUUUUCAAGUGCGUUGUGCCCAUAUUCUGAAUUUAAUUGUUCAAGCUGGUCUAAAAUUGAUUGCUGGUUCUGUUGACAAGACUCGCCAAGGAGUUCAAUACAUUCAUGGUUCUGGUAUCCGUAAGCAUAAGUUUUACACUGAUGGUCAGAAUUUGUUUCAUCUGGAUACCAAGAGGAAGCUAUGUGUUGACAUGCAUGUGCGAUGGAAUUCAACUUACAGAAUGCUUGAAAAUGCAAUAUUUAACAAGGGUGCUCUGAAACAGUAUGCAUCGAGAGAUGGAACCUUCAUGUCUCAUUUUGAUCUUUCUGAACUUGAGUGGAAGAGGGUAGAUAUCAUGACUACACUUUUUAAGUCCUUCCAUGAAGUCACAUGCUCUUUCUCUGGCACAAAAUACCCUACUGCUAAUCUGUACUUCAAAUGUGUGUUUAGGAUUCACUCUCAGUUGCUGGAAGCAGCCAAAGAGCCACAAAAUUUCAUGUCAAGUAUGGUGUAAGAAAUGAGAGCUAAGUUCGAUAAAUAUUGGUCUGAUUACAGCCUGAUUCUGUCGUGUGCUGCUAUUCUUGAUCCUCGGUAUAAGAUUAAUCUCCUUAGGUUCUGCUACAAGAAGCUAUGUGCUAAUGAGUCAGCUGCCGAAGAACAAGUCAAUAAAGCUGUAACCAAGCUUUAUGAAUUAUUUGAAGCGUACAGGGCCCAAAAUUCCAAUCCGUCUAUUACUAGUCCAAGAAAUCUGGUUGGACACAGUCAUCAGGAUGACUUAUUUGAUGAUUAUGCUGAUUACGUGACCACUGUCGCACCACAGACUCAGAAAUCUCAAUUGGAUUUGUAUUUAGAACAAGCAACAGGCAACAACCAACAAGAGACCCAAAAGUCGAUUUGGACAUAUUGGAGUUUUGGAAGGCCUCAUCUGUGACUUAUCCAGAACUAGCAAGCAUGGCUCGGGAUCUCCUUACCAUUCCAGUUUCUUCAGUUGCCUCAGAGUCUGCUUUCAGCAUAGGGAAAAAGGUGAUAAACCCUUGUCGAAGUUCGUUGAGUCCAGAAACAGUGGAUGCUUUUGUCUGCAAGAUUGGGUGCGCGUAAAGAAGGAAAUAGCUGGAGUCGCUAUAAAAGUUGAUGAUGGUGACGAUGUCGUGGAUGUCGAAUAGAACUUCUGGCUUCUAAUAUUUUUGUCCUUUUGGUGAAGACUGAUCAGCAUCAGCCCAAGUUGUCGGCUACAUUUUGUUGAUAGGCAACACUCUUUUGUUUAUAUAACUAUAGGUUGUUCAUGGGACACCUAGCCAUAGUGCUGCAGCAGCUGAACCUGGAUGCAUGGAGUAGUGGUAUUUUGUUUAUAGAACUCAUGCUAAUCAGCGAUUAGCAAAAUUCUGUUGUAUAGCAGCUUACUUACAGAACUCUAGUACUAAUUAGAAGCUAGCAUAAUUGUAUCGUAUGGCUGCUUAAUUUCCUACCUAGCUACUUCUCGUUUACCUUGUUAUCCACAAGAAUGCUGGACUGAUGGGACUCUGUAAUCUGCAUAAUGCAGACCGAGUAUUGGACCCUGUUGUACAUUGACUCUGUUCUGUUCUUGUCACUUGCAAGUUGCAGCUUGCAACGUUGUAUGAGUAUGGACAUGGCUACGUGUUAUUUUACUUAUGCUAAUGAGUAAUGACCAUCCCCA